AUUGAACGCUGGCGGCAUGCCUUACACAUGCAAGUCGAACGGUAACAGGUCUUCGGAUGCUGACGAGUGGCGAACGGGGGAGUAAUACAUCGGAACGUGCCCGAUCGUGGGGGAUAACGAGGCGAAAGCUUUGCUAAUACCGCAUACGAUCUACGGAUGAAAGCGGGGGAUCUUCGGACCUCGCGCGGACGGAGCGGCCGAUGGCGGAUUAGGUAGUUGGUGGGAUAAAAGCUUACCAAGCCGACGAUCUGUAGCUGGUCUGAGAGGAUGAUCAGCCACACUGGGACUGAGACACGGCCCAGACUCCUACGGGAGGCAGCAGUGGGGAAUUUUGGACAAUGGGCGAAAGCCUGAUCCAGCCAUGCCGCGUGCAGGAUGAAGGCCUUCGGGUUGUAAACUGCUUUUGUACGGAACGAAAAGCCUCUUUCUAAUAAAGAGGGGUCAUGACGUUACCGUAAGAAUAAGCACCGGCUAACUACGUG
rnacentral:rRNA from 1 species